rnacentral:tRNA from 1 species
AGCUCAGGGGUAGAGCGCAACCUUGCCAAGGUUGAUGUCGAGGGUUCAAAUCCCUUC